AAGACUAUGUUUUGAGAGGUCACUUCUGUAGUAUGUUAUUACAGAGUGUUCCUCAACUUGGGAAACCUCAAUGAGCCACAGAACGUCCUCCUGAGCAGAAUGUUUGUGAGUGGUGCCACCUACUGGCUUCUGCUUGCUACUGCAUAUUUCUCUUUUCCUCCUUUGGGAAGAAUUAGGAGGGAGAGUAAAAAGCAGA
rnacentral:snoRNA from 1 species